GUCGGCCAUCUUGGUUCCUUUGUUAGCCCAGCGGGGUUUUGCCGUCGAGUGUCUGGAACUAAAAACGGCUACUGGACGGCGCGAACACCGCUGGACUUCCAGGCCGUUCGGGAGCCCCGGCCGUUCGGUAGUUUGUUCCCCUAAUAUCAAUCGCUAUUUUAACAGUAUGUUGGUAAUAAUGUGUAUUUCGUGCGGUGUUCGGUUAGUUAGACUGGGAGCUGAGCGGUAUUCCCACGAACUAUGCGCUCAGCCUCCAGCUAUCUACCGAACGUCCAUUCAUGUAAAACAAGUGAAUAUUUUUAAAGUUAUGUAUUUUAAUGUAGAAUGUAAGUUCUGCUGCACGGAGG